AGUGGCGAACGGGUGAGUAACACGUGGGCAACCUGCCCAAAAGAGGGGGGAUAACACUUGGAAACAGGUGCUAAUACCGCAUAACCAUAGUUACCGCAUGGUAACUAUGUAAAAGGUGGCUAUACUACCGCUUUUGGAUGGGCCCGCGGCGCAUUAGCUAGUUGGUAGGGUAAAGGCUUACCAAGGCAAUGAUGCGUAGCCGAAUUGAGAGGUUGAUCGGCCACAUUGGGACUGAGACACGGCCCAAACUCCUACGGAAGGCAGCAG
rnacentral:rRNA from 1 species